rnacentral:rRNA from 1 species
AACCGAGCACCUCAAGUGGUCAGGAUGAUUAUUGGGCCUAAAGCAUCCGUAGCUCGUUUUGUAAGUUUUCGGUUAAAUCCAUACGCUUAACGUAUGGGCUGCCGGGAAUACUGCAUAACUAGGAAGUGGGAGAGGUAGACGGUACUCGGUAGGAAGGGGUAAAAUCCUUUGAUCUAUUGAUGACCACCUGUGGCGAAGGCGGUCUACCAGAACACGUUCGACGGUGAGGGAUGAAAGCUGGGGGGAGC